rnacentral:rRNA from 1 species
AUUGAACGCUGGCGGCAGGCCUAACACAUGCAAGUCGAGCGGAGCGGCGGACGGGCGAGUAAUGCCUGGGAAUCUGCCUGGUAGUGGGGGAUAACGUCCGGAAACGGGCGCUAAUACCGCAUACCAUCAGAUGAGCUUCGGUCGGAUUGGCUAGUUGGUGGGGUAAAGGCCUACCAAGGCGACGACCCGUAAUUGGUCUGAGAGGAUGAUCAGUCACACUGGAACGGAGACCCGGUCCAGACUCCUACGGAAGGCGACAGUGGGGAAGCUUGGACAAUGGGCGAAAGCCUGAUCCAGCCAUGCCGCGUGGGUGAAGAAGGUCUUCGGAUUGUAAAGCACUUUAAGUUGGGAGGCGUUACCAACAGAAUAAGCACCGGCUAACUUCGUGCCAGCAGCCGCGGUAAUAC